GUGCCAGCCGCUGCGGUAAUACGUAGGUGGCGAGCGUUAUCCGGAAUUACUGGGCGUAAAGCGCACGCAGGCGGUCUUUUAAGUUUGACGUGAAAGCUCCCGGCUUAACUGGGAGAGGUCGUUGAAUACUGAGAGACUUGAGGCAAUGAGAGGGGUGUAGAAUUCCUGGUGUAGUGGUGGAAUGCGUAGAUAUCAGGAGGAAUACCAGUGGCGAAAGCGGCACCCUAGCGUUGUACUGACGCUCAUGUGCGAAAGCGUGGGAGCGAACGGGAUUAGAUACCCCGGUAGUCCACGCCGUAAACGAUGAACACUAGGUGUAGGUGAUGUGAAAGUUAUCUGUACCGAAGCCAACGCGUUAAGUGUUCCGCCUGGGAGUACGGCCGCAAGGCUAAAACUCAAAGGAUUGGACGGGGCCGCACAAGCAGCGGAGCGUGUGGUUUAAUCGAUGCAA
rnacentral:rRNA from 1 species